rnacentral:rRNA from 1 species
GAAGGUCUGACGGAGCACGCCGCGUGAGUGAUGAAGGUUUUCGGAUCGUAAAGCUCUGUUGUUAGGGAAGAACAAGUGCCGUUCAAAUAGGGCGGCACCUUGACGGUACCUAACCAGAAAGCCACGGCUAACUACGUGCCAGCAGCCGCGGUAAUACGUAGGUGGCAAGCGUUGUCCGGAAUUAUUGGGCGUAAAGGGCUCGCAGGCGGUUUCUUAAGUCUGAUGUGAAAGCCCCCGGCUCAACCGGGGAGGGUCAUUGGAAACUGGGGAACUUGAGUGCAGAAGAGGAGAGUGGAAUUCCACGUGUAGCGGUGAAAUGCGUAGAGAUGUGGAGGAACACCAGUGGCGAAGGCGACUCUCUGGUCUGUAACUGACGCUGAGGAGCGAAAGCGUGGGGAGCGAACAGGAUUAGAUACCCUGGUAGUCCACGCCGUAAACGAUGAGUGCUAAGUGUUAGGGGGUUUCCGCCCCUUAGUGCUGCAGCUAACGCAAUAAGCACUCCGCCCGGGGGAGAAA